rnacentral:lncRNA from 1 species
UUAUGCUAGUUUUCGUUUCCAUGUCAUAUUGCUCGCUGCCUACCACUAAAUUAAAUUGCCUCUUGAAAAGCCAUGAGCCCAAACACCGUUCUCCUUCCUAGCAAACUUGUGUGGCUAAGUAGGCUUGCUCAGCUACUAAAGUUAGCAUUGCUAGUUGCAGGUGUUUUUGACUCAUGUGAUAACGUGAGCUUGAUAUCAUUAUCUUAAACUUUGUUAUUUAAUUAAUGCACCUAUAUACUUGGUAAAUGACGGGAGGCCUAGCCUUUUGCCGGGUGCUUUCUUCCGUUAUUGCCGCCUUAGUUACCGGUUACCGGUGUUUGAUUUUAUAAUGAUCGCUCCUAACACGUUCG